ensembl:rRNA 5S_rRNA 5S ribosomal RNA
GUCUUCAGUUACACCACCCUGAACACAACUGAUCUCAUCUGAUCUAGGAAGCUAAGCAGGGUUGUGCCUGGUUAGUACUUGGAUGGAAGAAUGAAAUUCAGGCCUCUGGAAUCC